UACGGAGGGAGCUAGCGUUGUUCGGAAUUACUGGGCGUAAAGCGCGCGUAGGCGGCUUUGUAAGUUAGAGGUGAAAGCCCGGAGCUCAACUCCGGAACUGCCUUUAAGACUGCAUCGCUUGAAUCCGGGAGAGGUGAGUGGAAUUCCGAGUGUAGAGGUGAAAUUCGUAGAUAUUCGGAAGAACACCAGUGGCGAAGGCGACUUACUGGACACAUAUUGACGCUGAGGUGCGAAAGCGUGGGGAGCAAACAGG
rnacentral:rRNA from 1 species